UUAUUCAUUGAAAAUAAAACCUGCCAGCAGAAUCUGAAGUGAAAGAUUAGAGACAAUGGACUGAUCUGGGGACCUAUCUCAGGAAUCUGGACUCGCUGACCACCAAUGUUUCCUUAAAAAAAGGCAAAAAAAAAAAAUAUCCUUCUGGGCAAUGAUUUAAUUUACAGUGAGACUAGAGAGGAAGCCCAUAUCUUUCCUAGAAGGAAACAACCAAAAGUGAUGGCAAUUGAUACAAUGCAGCAAUUAGUGAAUUGAUUAUUACAUUCCUCCUUUUAGAUGUUGACUUUUGACCAGACCUAUCAAGUAAGAAAAAAAAUCCCAUUAGUUAAGGCCAGGGUAAGCUUUCUUAUCAUCAAUUAAAAUAACUGGAUUCCCUGACCUGAAAAGUGUCUCUGUUAAUCAUCACUAUUAUAUCACUAUCACUAUUAUAUCAUCACCAGUGGAAGAUCAUAGGGUAGACUUUUAAAAGUAUGCAAAUUGUCCCUUACACCUAACAGGUUAUCUUUUUUUGGAAGCAAAAUGUCUAAGUUAAUUGGUAAAGUAUAUAUUAUUAACUUUACCUUAAAAACAAUUUAAGGAGCUUUUCAAACAGUUGUAACCCAAGUAUGGUAUACUAACAAGCAAAUUAAUUUAUAGAUAAAUUACUUGAGAAUAUGUUUAAUAUCAAAAUGUUGGAGUAUGAGAUGAGUUGUCAGGUUUGGACUGAUGCAUAGCUAAGGACAGGUAGCUUUGUUACAUUUUAAUAUUAUUGAAAAUAAGAUAGAAUGCUACAGUUUUGCUUCCACUUGCUUUCAAAACAAUCUGAAAGACCUUUAAAUUCCCUGUUUCCAUAUGCUCUGCUAAAGUGGUCUGAAGUUCAGGAAGCAGCAAGGUGAGGUGAAGGAGCAUGGCCUAAGAGUCAGGAGACAGGGGUUCUGGUCUGAAUUCUGGUACUGAGUACCUGUAACCUUAGAUAAACCUUGGCUUUACCUCAUAAGGUAGUCAUGAGUUAAAAAAAAA